CCUACGGGGGGCUGCAGUGGGGAAUUUUGGACAAUGGGGGCAACCCUGAUCCAGCCAUGCCGCGUGCAGGAUGAAGGCCUUCGGGUUGUAAACUGCUUUUGUACGGAACGAAAAAGCGCCUUCUAAUACAGGGCGUCCAUGACGGUACCGUAAGAAUAAGCACCGGCUAACUACGUGCCAGCAGCCGCGGUAAUACGUAGGGUGCGAGCGUUAAUCGGAAUUACUGGGCGUAAAGCGUGCGCAGGCGGUCAUGCAAGACAGAGGUGAAAUCCCCGGGCUCAACCUGGGAACUGCCUUUGUGACUGCAUGGCUGGAGUGCGGCAGAGGGGGAUGGAAUUCCGCGUGUAGCAGUGAAAUGCGUAGAUAUGCGGAGGAACACCGAUGGCGAAGGCAAUCCCCUGG
rnacentral:rRNA from 1 species